GACGAACGCUGGCGGCGUGCCUAAUACAUGCAAGUAGAACGCACAGUUUAUACCGUAGCUUGCUACACCAUAAACUGUGAGUUGCGAACGGGUGAGUAACGCGUAGGUAACCUGCCUGGUAGCGGGGGAUAACUAUUGGAAACGAUAGCUAAUACCGCAUAAUAUUGAUUAUUGCAUGAUAAUUGAUUGAAAGAUGCUAUUGCAUCACUACCAGAUGGACCUGCAUUGUAUUAGCUAGUAGGUGAGGUAACGGCUCACCUAGGCGACGAUACAUAGCCGACCUGAGAGGGUGAUCGGCCACACUGGGACUGAGACACGGCCCAGACUCCUACGGGAGGCAGCAGUAGGGAAUCUUCGGCAAUGGACGAAAGUCUGACCGAGCAACGCCGCGUGAGUGAAGAAGGUUUUCGGAUCGUAAAGCUCUGUUGUAAGAGAAGAACGGGUGUGAGAGUGGAAAGUUCACACUGUGACGGUAUCUUACCAGAAAGGGACGGCUAACUACGUG
rnacentral:rRNA from 1 species